GACGAACGCUGGCGGCGUGCUUAACACAUGCAAGUCGAACGAUGAAGCGGGUGCUUGCACUCGUGGAUUAGUGGCGAACGGGCGAGUAACACGUGAGUAACCUGUCCUUUUCUUUGGGAUAACGGCUGGAAACGGCUGCUAAUACUGGAUAUUCAGGCUGCAUCGCAUGGUGUGGUUUGGAAAGGUUUUUUCUGGGAUUGGGUGGGCUCGCGGCCUAUCAGCUUGUUGGGGGGGUGAUGGCUUACCAAGGCUUUGACGGGUAGCCGGCCCGGGAGGGUGGGUGGCCGCGCUGGGACUGAGAUACGGCCCAGACUCCGCCGGGCGGCAGCGGUGGGGAAGUUUGCCAAAUGGACGAAAUGUUUAUCCAGCGACGCCGGGGGGGGGUUGUAGGCCUUGGGUUUGUGAACCCCUUUUUCCCGCAAAAAAGGCACAUUUUUGGCUGUUUUGGUGGUUGUGGGGGAAGAAGCCCCGGCUACCUACGU
rnacentral:rRNA from 1 species